GAAAUGCGAUAAGUAAUGUGAAUUGCAGAAUUCCGUGAAUCAUCGAAUCUUUGAACGCACAUUGCGCCCUCUGGCAUUCCGGGGGGCAUGCCUGUCCGAGCGUCAUUACGCACCCUCAAGCCCGGCUUGUGUGAUGGGCCCCCGCGUCUCGUUCGCGAGACGGGCCCGAAAGGCAGCGGCGGCGUCGACCCGAUGAGCCCGAGCGUAUGGGGACUUCUGUCACACGUUCGCGGUGCGGACCGGCGCCUGCUUGACUUUUCUGAUUAUCCAGGUUGACCUCGGAUCAGGUAGGGAUACCCGCUGAACUUAAGC
rnacentral:misc_RNA from 1 species